rnacentral:rRNA from 1 species
GGGUGCGAUCAUACCAGCACUAACGCACCGGAUCCCAUCAGAACUCCGCAGUUAAGCGUGCUUGGGCGAGAGUAGUACUAGGAUGGGUGACCUCCUGGGAAGUCCUCGUGUUGCACCCC